CUAUGAGAAGGAUCCCAAAGUCUCCAUAACACUGGCAUGGCUAGCUCAUGGCAAACAUGCUUGGGAUAAUGCAGACACAGAGUGACAUAUUUUUAAUGAGUCCUGGCCUUACAAAAUAUGCUAUAUAACUUACUGGCCUAGAGAGACUAGGAACGUCUCUCUAAAGUUCAUGGUUUUGCUUGAAUCGGUUUGGCUUUUGCAUCGCUAGUUGUCCUGCUAGCUGGAGCACAGACAGAUUGUUGGUCUCUGUUUCCAGGGCUGCAUUGACUAGUCUUGCUCCCAGCUGGGUUGGAUGAAAAUAGCACUAAGAGACGAUGGGGUGCGUACCUUAGAGCACCUUGUAUUGCAGGCAGUCCAGGAGAGGACAGGAGGUUGAGAAACAGUGGAAUUUGCUUUGGUUAUAACUCUAAACACUGGUGUUUACUUUUCUGUGCGGGUGCUGUGGGUGUCGAGCUGCUCCAGAGACAAGGACCUCAGCUGACACUGGCAGGUAUGCGGAGGGACUGGCAGUGGCAGGGGCACAGGACCAGUGCUGGCCUUCUGUCAGGCGCUGCGACUGUGAAAGCAAAGCCUGUCUGCCCACGUGAGUGCAGGGGAACAGAGGCACUGCAGCCCGCAUCUGUGCAUUCAAAAAGGAGAUGAGCCCUGCGGGAGCCUUUUGGAGCAAAACCGCCUGCAGUGGCUGGAGAGUCGGCUCUCCCCAGUGAGCAGAGCCUUGCUUCCCUGCUCCUUACGCAGCUGGAGGGGUAAGAGAUCCCUCUGGGCAAAGCACGGGCAUGAGCCCGUCUCCCCAGCCAAAGCCUUUCUGGUGGUCUCUGCCUCCACAGCCCUCCACCGCGGCCCUCCCCAUGGCUCCUCCGGUCCUCCGCAGCCGGAGGCGCCAGGUCUGACUGCCACAGGCCGGGUGGCCGUGAGCCGGCUAGGCUUGGGACAGCCAGCGCGGCUGCUGGCACAGCUUCCCUGGCGACCUGCCCUGUGUUGCCUUCAGCUGGGGUGCGAGGAGGGUGGCCACCAGCUCCGUGCGACCCAGGCCCGCCGAGGUGACGCGGUUGCGCGGGACGCAGGCAUGAGGUGUUUGCCCUCCCCCAGCCGCCUCUCGCCCCGCUCGUGAGCUUUGCGCCCCAGCGGCAGGAUGGGGAGAGCUGCUUUCACAACCUGGACGUGUUGUCACUCACAUCCAGACAUUUCCUGUUAUCUAACCUCAGCCUUAUCUUCCCCAUUCGCAGCUUCCUCUCGAAGGAGGAGCAGCCCCUUCAAAAACGAGCUGUGUGCCUGGGCUGUGCCCCCACCGUGCUCCUCCUGCGCGGCCCCCGGUGCCGGCCCCGCUCGCCUCGGGCCAGGCUGGCUCAGCACGGUAGGUGCCAGCUCCCUGUCCUGCCUGGCGGAAGGGGUGGCUGGGGACGGGAGGAUAGGUCCUUUAGGGGUGACCUCCCGUUUCUCCUCCAGGAGGUCCCAAAGGACCACGGGGGUUGGGACUCCAAAACCCGCAUGGUGUCCAUGUUCCUGGCAACGCAGAAAGCUGUCCUCCCACCCCACGUUACACCUCGAGCUUCGGGGGAACUAAGCCAGCUUGGGUUUGGACUGCCUCCCCUUGGUGUCGGGAGUGCGUCUGCCUGAGCCCGAAGAGCUUUUUUGCAUCUUCCUUCAGGGGAAAAGCGGUGGUGUCGGGCCGGGUGUACUCUGUUAAGGGUAGGCUAGUGGAUGUGAACGCCACUGGUCCUAGCCAGGGAGCACUGCUCUCUGGACCGUGAUUCAUUGAUGAGGAUGAAUUACAAUUAAUAGCAAUAGCGACGUGUAUGUCGUCCUACUUGGUACUGGGAUGUAUGUGCGCGUGCUCCCCCCAGCUCGCACGCACGCACAUGCUGCAGAUGAGUUGCUGGCAGUAGGGAGAUUUUGAUCUAAAUUAGUCAUAGAUGAGACAGCGCACAAAGAGCAGGGGAAGUUGCGGGAUGGAGGAGGGUUUUACCAGGCAGAGACGGUGUCCCAGCCGGGCACAAGAGCGCUCUUCAGCUCCUUUUCUUGCUGUCCCGAUGGCUUCAGGACAGUGGACGAAGGUUUACCAUGCACCCCUCUUCCCUCCCCUCAGGUGUCGGGGGCACAAGCAGCCACGGGGGCACAGUCUGGCGCGCUGGGGUGGGGGCCGCAGCGCUCAGGAUGAUGGCACCCCAGCGAAGACAUCUGCAACCCCCGCUGAGAGCUGCAGUGCAGCACUGCGUGUAUUUGACAAGCUGAGUUCGACACUCAGUGUGCAGAGUGUCAGUUUGUCAAAUACCCCAAGUGAGGCAUUUGCUGAGCAACGCGGCGGCACACCGAGGGGACCGGUUCCUUCCUCCCACUCGGGCAGGGGCCUUCCUGUCCAUAUUCUGCUCCUCUCCAAAAACCCAGCAAGGUAUUGAACAACACAUCCCAUCAUUACUGAACACUCGACUCUGAUCCUGUGCUGUCAGACUUCCCUUCCACCCCAAUUUUGGAAGCGCCUAUCACGGUGGUAUUCCUAAUGGCAAAUCUGUACAGAAGUGGUGCUGGCACAGUUUCUGGGCAUUGUAAAGGCAGACAAUUGGGCCCUGGCUCCUUAUUCUUUGCAGCCAAAGACAAUGCUGUUCUCUUCCACAGCAUUAACUAGCCAGCUGUUAAUCAAUAAUCUUGCUCACUUAACAAGGAUUCUGGCAACUGUAAUCACAACAUCAUGGGUAAGGGCAGCAUUAUCCAUAAUACAGAAUCUUUUCUUUGGACAUGUAGGAAUCUUUUUUUUUUUUAUUUGAAGUUGGAGGACAAACUAAUAAGGCUGCUGAUUAACUUCCCUCUAUCCCAUUAGCCAGUGAAAAAUGCAUAUUUGCUCAAUCUGUUUUUGAAUUAGGCCAUGGAGUCCAUCACUUCUCCUUGAAGCCUUGUUAUUUGGAGAAGACUCCUUGUUUUGGGACAGUUAUUCCUAGUCAGCACUUGCAGCAAGGUUGCUUAUUGCUUUUCUUGCCUUUCUGCUAUUUAGUUAAAGUAAUUCCAUGUAAAUCAUCCCACUUGAAGAUCUAAUGAUUGGUAAGCAUUUUUAGUCACUGACUUGUAGCACAUCAGAUCUGCAACUUGAGGUAUCUCAGGGUGGGGGGUAAUGACAGAGGGAGAGUGCCCAACCCAGUUUGACAAAUCAAACUCUCUGAAAGCAUUUAGCAUUGAAAACUCAGAAACUAAGAAAAAAUCUCAAGACCCUACUGACUUGUUUUAGGACAGUACCACCAGCAAAUUUUGCAAUGUUUGACAAUAUUGAUAAACUUUAAUACUAAGCUUUUGGGCUUUUUGUUGCAACUAUUUCUUGCUAAAUAUUUUGAAGAAGUUGGAGUUUGUACAAAGCUGGGACUAAUGAAUGUAUAACAUUGCCUAAGCAAA